rnacentral:rRNA from 1 species
GAGCACGUAGGUGGGUUUGUAAGUCGGGUGUGAAGGCCCCUGGCUCAACCAGGGAACUGCAUUUGAUACUGUGAGGCUUGAGGACAGGAGGGGAGAGUGGAACUUCUGGUGGAGCGGUGAAAUGCGUAGAUAUCAGAAGGAACGCCGGCGGCGAAAGCGAUUCUCUGGCCUAUAACUGACACUGAGUGUGCGAAAGCUAGGGGAGCAAACGGGAUUAGAUACCCCGGUAGUCCUAGCCGUAAACGAUGGGCACUAAGUAGAGGGGUUU